GGCCAUAGCUCAGUGGUAGAGCACCUGCUUUGCUUGCAGAAGGUUCCAGGUUCAAUCCCCAGCAUCUCCA